UCCUCUUUAGCUCAGUUGGUUAGAGCAUCUGACUGUUAAUCAGAGGGUCCUUGGUUCGAGUCCAAGAAGAGGAG
rfam:Flammeovirga sp. MY04 chromosome 1, complete sequence.